CUGCACAAAGAAACCAAGAAGGUCUUCAGUGAUGUUAUGGAGGACCUCUACAACUAUGUGAAUCCCCUGAACGGCCACCACUCGCCUAUGGUUUCCAAGGAAACCCUUGACAUUGUUUUGGCCAACAAAGAUCGGCUCAACUCUGCCAUCAUUUUUGACAGGGAUUUCUCUUACAACUUCUUUGGCUUCAAGGUAAUUCCAA